rnacentral:rRNA from 1 species
CCUAGGGGAGGCAGCAGUGGGGAAUAUUGGGCAAUGGGCGCAAGCCUGACCCAGCGACGCCGCGUGAGGGAUGAAGGUCUUCGGAUUGUAAACCUCUUUCAGUAGGGAAGAAGCGAAAGUGACGGUACCUAAAGAAGAAGCACCGGCUAACUAUGUGCCAGCAGCCGCGGUAAU